rnacentral:lncRNA from 1 species
CCUAUUCAAUUUGCAACCACAACAGCCGCAAGGUCCAAGCCCCCUCCUGCUCCUCACGCCGAAGUCAGCAAGAAUGCCGACGGCGCGCCUCUACCGGUAAGAAACUUCUCCUUUUCCCUCGUUCUUUCCUUUAUUUGUUUUUAAAAACAAGGAAGAAAAUAAAAAAGGUACAAAACAGUAAAGAGAAAGGAAAAACGGAACCAAUCUCAAUACCUUCAAAACUUUUUUUUAUUCUCUGUUUUUGCUUUCUUCAAUCUUUUGAUACAAAGAAUUUUUUCUCUCUUUUCGUCUGUAUCGUUUUUUACACUGAAAAAAUCCCCCACUUUACAGAUUAAAAUCGUCCUUAUAUAGCUGAUUAAUACCAAAAAUCCAAAAAGAAAAAAUCAAAAACCCACUUAUUUUCCGUUAUUUGCUGCGCUUGUGUACCUCUAUUUUUGCAAGUUUGGUGGUGAAGAGGGCGCAUAUACGUGGAGGCACAAAUCGCGCGGAAGGGACCCUGGCUCCGAGUCGAGCGGUGACGGGGGUUGCUGGGAGCAGAAGCGCGCAAAAAGAGGGUGACAGUUGCGGGGGCUACUAGGGUUUUUGACUUUUGAUUUGGCUAAAAAUUUGUUAAAUUUUGGGCUUGUUGGGCUGUUGGUGUUUUGGGCUUGUAAUUAGGGUUAAUAUUUGGGCUAUUCGAUUGGGACUUUGGUUUGUACGGGCCCGGGUAAAUUGGGCUUAUUACAGCUGCCCCUCUUUGCUUGUUGUCGUGUAACGGGAACAGAGCAAAGACUGAAAAGCCCAAUUGUGUCCGGUCUUACUAAGCUUCAACUUCCUCAAUGCUUUAUUUCUUCAGGUAGCAUCAUUCCUUCCUACUGCAUCUUCAGAGGUAUAGGAACCCGUGCUUCGAUCCACUCCACUGCAAUAUCAGGGAGAUAGGAUUCGUACGUUGUAACUUUUCAAAAGAACAAAAUUUGCUAUCUUUAAUCUGCUCCACUGCAACUUCAGGGAGAUAAGACUUAUAGCUUCGAUUUGUUCUGCUACAACUUGAAAAAUAAAUCGGAUACGAUCUGCUCUACUGUAACUUCAGAGAGAUGAGAUCUGCGGUUUUAAUCCACUCCAUUGCAGUUUCAAGGAGAUAGGAAUACUGGCUUCAACGUACUCCACUGUAACUUUAGGGAGGUAAAAUCCACCAUAUUUGAUCUGCUCCACUACUGCUUAGGGAGAUAAGAUCUGUAAUCUUUAAUCUAUUCCACUGUUGCCCAGGGAGAUAGAAUUACUGGCUUCAAUGUACUCCACUGCAACCUCAGGGAGGUAAAAUCCACCAUCUUUGAUCUGCUCCACUACUGCUUAGGGAGAUAAGAUCUGUAAUCUUUAAUCUAUUCCACUGUUGCCCAGGGAGAUAGAAUUACUGGCUUCAAUGUACUCCACUGCAACCUCAAGGAGGUAAAAUCAGCCAUCUUCGAUCUGCUUCGCUGUUUAUGUAGGAAGGCAAGAUCUUCUAUAUUUGAUCUACUUGACGCCAGUACAUGAAGACAAGAUCUGGUAUCUUUGAUCUUCUUCACGCCAGUACAUGAAGACAAGAUCUACUUUUUCAAUCGAUUCCACUGCCGACCGGGGAGGUAGAAUUACUGGCUUCAACAUACUCCACUGCAACUUCAGGGAGGUAAAAUCCGCCAUCUUCGAUCUGCUCCACUACUACUUAGGGAGGCAAAAUCUGUAAUCUUCAAUCUACUUUGCCGCCGGUAUGGGAAGAUGUAUAUUCGAUCCACUUCGCUACCAAUAUAGGAAGACAGGACCUACUAUCUUUGAUCUACUUCACGCCAGUACAUGAAGACACGAUCUAUUUUCUUCGACCUACUCCACCACCAGUAUGGGGAGACAAGAUCUAUUUCUUUGAUCUACUUCACGCCAAUACAUGAAGACAAGAUCUGCUUUCUUUGAUCUACUCCACCACCAGUAUGGGGAGACAAGGUCUGUUGACUUUGAUCUACUUCACGCCGAUACAUGAAGGCAAGAUCUGCUUUCUUUGAUCUACUCCACCACUAGUAUGGGGAGAUAAGAUUUGUUGACUUUGAUCUACUUCACGCUGAUACAUGAAGACAAUAUCUACUUUCUUUCGAUCUGCUUCGCCACCAGUAUGGGAAGGCGAGAUCUGUAUAUUCGAUCUACUUCACGCUAGUACAUGAAGACAAGAUCUGUAUUCCUUCGAUCUGCUUCGCCACCAGUAUGGGAAGGCGAGAUCUGUUAUCUUUGAUCUACUUCACGCCAGAACAUGAAGACAAGAUCUGCUUUUUCCUUCGAUCUGCUUCGCCACCAGUAUGGGAAGGCGAGAUCUGUAUAUUCGAUCCACUUCGCUACCAAUAUAGGAAGACAAGACCUGCUGCUUCUCAACCUGCUCAACUGUUGUUCAGAGAGAUAAGGCUUUAUGAUUUCACCGAUCUGUUCUCUGGGGAACAUGACCUGUAUAAUUCACUUUAUGAACCUAACUAUGCCUAAUGAUUAGGAUGUCAUGAUCAAAUGAAUCAAAUGCUCCUAACUAGGCGUGUAUGAAUGACAUUUGAAUGAAUGCAGAAUGUCAUUUUUCGAUAAUGAUCCCUCAUUUUCACUUAGGUUAUCAUUACUCAAAGUUUAUUUAAAGUUUCAUCGCUAAUGUGCUAUAGCACCCUCUUGCUCAGCUGGCGUCUCGAAAGAAACACUUGACCAGAUUGCCCCUCACUGUAAACCUCCAAGUUUGAUCCAUUGGGAUGCAAAAUUUAUACCAUCUUUCUCCCGUUGUCACCCAAGAGUAAAAAGAUUUGGUCUUUUCUCAAUCCUCUACUAUCACAAUUCAAGGAUACAGGGUAUGAAACUCUUUGGUCCCUUACACCAUUCCCAGGGUGUCAUACCAAAUUCUCAUGCACAAAUGAAGAAUGUUCCUCUCCAAGAACAACUUCUUCUUAUUAUUCGGUGAUCAUUGCCUGCUUGUUCAUUGAAGCCUUGUCACCGACAUGACACAUUGCCAUUUUGUCCAAUCGAUGUUUUAGGCAAUAAAAUUUAAAGGGAUAGUCUGAAUUUAGACUUUUCCCUAUUAGAUUUCCAACCUGGUGCGUUCUAAAUAAUAGUCCUAUUUCAGGUUCCUGUAUUAUUUAGAAACUUCUAGAGUAAUGUGCAAAACUUCCCUUGUGAAAGUUUUGUUAGUCUAUUAACCAUUAUUCUAAUGCAACAUGCUUGUAAAAAGAUCAUGGAUAAGAAUAGAGUUGGCUCUAAGCAUAGCUCGAAAUGAAUAAAUUAUCAAGGAUAAUAAAGAUGGAUAACAAGGAAAUUGAUUUAGGAAUGCAUAUCUUGGAAAUGAAUGAAGUGUUCCAAGAAUAACAAAAAUAGUAUAAGGAUUAGGUGUCCCAAAUAUCGCAGCCUGAACUUCUCUGUACAGACUUUCUGAAGACCAUUCUGACUUUAACAUGUGUUUAGGAGAUCUACAGUACUUUGUCGAUGCCCCCAAAAUGUCGCCUACCCUUUCCUAUUGAUUCAGGUAUAGCAAGACCACUGCAUGCCCCGCUCUGAUCAAUAUUUGAGCUGCUCUGAUUACUUCAUGCCCCAUUCUGAUCAAUAUUUGAGCUGCCCUUUUCGGGUUUUCAACUCAAAUCCCUUUGGUCUAAAGCACCUUUUGCGAGUUUUCACCUUAGCCUCUCCAUUUUUUUUUACUCAAGGCUCCCUUUGUAGGGUUUCACCCUGGUCUCUUUUUUUUUCACUCAAAGCGCCCUUUGUAGGCUUUCACCUUGGUCCCACCUUUUUUAAGCAGAGUAUUUCCUGACUGAAUCUGAGUUUACAGGACUUUGUAAAUUUUUACCAUCCAUCUCACUCAAGAUCAAAGCUUCUCCAGAAAAGGCUUUCUUUAUAACAUAUGGACCCUUCUAAUUUGGCCUCUAUCUUCCUCUAAAAUCCUUUUGUAUAGGAAGGAUCUUUUUCAACACUAGUUCUCUCUUGUGAAAUUCUUUGGGACGAACCUUCGGGUCUUCCUCUUAGGAUAAAAUGUAGAGAAAUGACAAUUCGACUUCAAUGAGUAAAGCUAUGAUAAGCCAAAGAGGAGGAUAUUGCCCCAGCAAAGAAAGUUUACUGCAUCGUUCAUAGCAUCGAUGUUGAACCUACUGCCCAUUUCUAACAUCAUGCUGUUAUUCAGAUUACAAGCUAGUGCUUAACCCGAGCAUAUCUGGGUAUAACCAUGUGAAGACAUCAUUGAAUUCUUGGGGUAGCUCUAUAAGGUCUCGCCUCGUCUUUGUGAUCAUGUCAAUUCACCAAGCUCACAAUUUCUGAUAAUUCAUCGCGAUGUAGGAUCUGUCUAUCCUCUUAUUCUAUCACCCUCCUCAAGUCUGGAGAUAAGCUACAAUCUAUGUCAUCUUCAAAGUCAUGAGAUCCCUCUAAACACAUGUCUCACUCAAAAGGAAAUUUUGAGUCUGUAGCAGCGUCACUCAUGACAUUGAUAUCUGGGGACCCAUAGUAGGUAUCCGAGAAUAUACAAAAGAAUGUAUGAAUAAUAUGAAUGAAUGGUUUGGCAGAGAAAAAAAUCCAAAAAAAAUGAAAAAAACGUAAAGAAUGAAAGAACAUUUGCUCAAAGAUGAUUGCAAUAAUGUAUUUCAUUAAAAUAAUAAUGUUCAGACGUGAGCCUAUUUCACAAAGAAAACCUUAUUGCUUCUAGGCUGAAAGCAACAAGUGUGUUCUGAACAUUACUCUAACAGACUUUAAAUACUUCAGGGGUUUCCUCCGCAGUCUCAUUAUUUAGAACACCUCUAAGGCAAAUAUCUAACAAGGACCCUUUAAAUUGUGUCUGCAUUAUGGCAUCGAUGUGUAAAUUUCUCACGACUUCUUCAUACAUUGCAGUCCCUCUAUCCUCAAUCAUGAUUGGGUAGCAGAUUUCCUGCGCUAGACGAGUCACCAAACUUGAUAAUACCCAUAUUGAUAAGUCUUUCAACUUGCUUCUUGAAGGCGGUGCAAUUCUCAAUCGAGUGUCCCGUAAUUCCCGCGUGGUAGUCACAUUGUGUGUUCGCAUCAUACCAUUCGGGAUACGGAGGUUGUAGAGGCUUCACAUGAAAAGGGGAAACAACAUGUGCAUCAAACAAAUUUUGAUACAGUUCCUUAUACGGUACUGGGAUUGGUGUAAACUGGAACUUUUCAGUCUUUAUGCCGGAAUCUUGCCUCGAAGAAUUUUGUUGAUUACCAACCACCUUUCUUGGCUGAACAGUAACUGAUUUAGAGUAACCCGUGUUGUUCACCUCAUUUUCUCUUCUUUUUGAGACUGACCUCUUGUUACUCUCCUCUAUAUCAAUUUUCCCACUUCUUAUCGCAUUUUCGAUCAUUUCACCAUUCAUAAUUAUGUCAGAAAAGCUUUUUGUAGCAUUUCCUAACAUAUGCGUAAUGAAUGGGGCUUUCAGUGUGUUAAUAAAUAGCAUGGUCAUUUCUUUCUCCAAGAGCGGUGGCUGGACUUGGACUGCAACUUCCCUCCAUCUUUGUGCAUAUUGCCUGAAGCUUUCACUCGGCUUCUUCUCCAUAUUUUGAAGGGUGAUUCUAUCAGGAGCCAUGUCUGUCACAUGACUAUAUUGUUUCAUGAAUGCUUGCGCCAAGUCUCUCCAUGAACCAAUCGUGGCACGACUCAACUGAUUGUACCACUUGGAUGCUGCCCCUGCAAGGCUGUCUUGGAAGCAAUGUAUUAAUAGCUGGUCAUUAUUAACGUAUCCAGCCAUUCGCCUGCAGAACAUGGUGAUAUGAGCCUCUGGGCAAGUCGGCCCAUUGUACUUCCCGAAUUCAGGCAUCUUAAAUUUAUGAGGAAGUACAAGGUCUGGCACUAAACUCAGCUCUUUUGCGUCAAUGCCUCGAUAACUUUCAGUGACUUCCAUCGCCUUGAACUUCUCCUCGAGCCACUUACAUCUCUCUUCUAUCUAUCUCGGCAACUCCUCCUUCACUCUUUCCUUCUCAACCACUUCAUCAAAGUCAGGAACGGCAGAGUUAAUAGGAUUAUUUUCGGGAUUAAAACCCGGCCCAGUUUGGAGGUUCGGAAUACCAGCUCGAAAUUUCUGAGGCAUGAUGGUGACGGUAGAUUUGCGCGGGUGUUCAGCUUGCGCUCGCUCAUGUGGAGGGGUGAAACCUGGAGGAUAGAAAAGUUCAUCAUCAUUUCCCUCAUCGACAUCUGCCAUGGGGCCCUUUCCUUUGUCACCUCCCUUAGUUAUCAGUUGGGUUAACUUUGCCACUAUAUCUUCUUGGGAUUCUCGCAUCUUCUCAGACAUCUCUUGUUUCAUCUUGUCUAACCGCUCUUGCAUUUGUAGCUGAAGCCGGUCUUGCAUCUCCUUCUGGUACUGUUCGAGCUUCUCUAAUCUCUGAUCCAUAUCUUUUGUCUUUGCUCGAGUGCCGUAUCGGUGUUAGUUUUCCAAUUUAACUGAAAUAAUUUUACUCAAUUAGGCUCUUUCAAUGGAUUUUAAUGCAUAUGAUGCUAUGUAAUGCAAAUGCAUGGGAUGAAUGCAAAAAGAGACGUUGAUUCUGAUUCAAUUCCAUUUAGAAAACUUUUCUAGAAGAUAAAUUUCUUUACAUAAAGCAGAUAUAUAUAUACGGCUUUGCCCUCAUACUCCAAGCGAGGACAUCUUCUCCUUCUUCAUCUGGAUGCUAAGAUAAAUCUUGCAAAUUCUUCAAAAGGGGUAUCUCCUCUACCUCUUUUUUACUUGAUCCUGGUUAUAAUCCAACGUCUGCCCAUCCCCGAAAUGCUCCUCAACUUCUUUAAGGUAGUUGGAAUGUCAGAAACUCUUGAAUAAUCGGCUUGACCUUGAGGCACGAAGUAAAGUUAUGUGUUCCUCCAUCACCCUUCUCCUAUCACGUUUUCUUGGACCAUAUUCGGACGACCAUAUUGUCAUCCACUUUAUCAAGAAACUCAUUUUCGUAUGACAAGCUCUCUAUUUAGUAAUCGAACUCGAAUCAACAUCUCUUUUCUAAGAUGCAAAUGUAAUGCAAUCAUGAUGUCAUGUAAUCAAAACAAAAUAAACCUAAGUCAGUAUCCCACCAAAAAGAUAUAAUCCAAUACAAACAUGAAAUAGCCAGAACAUUUAUUCAGGAAUCCUCUAAGGUUUGGUAUAGCUCUACCUAGGGCAAGUUCUUAAAGCUCACUAUAUGAGGUUUAGUUUCUAGAGUAAGGGUACCCGAACCAGCAGAUUCCUCGAUCCUCACCCAUUAUAAGCUCAUAUGGACCGAGUUCAGUUCAGGGGAAUACAUUUCCCUAUGGCUGCACGGAGAUGAAAAUCUCACGAAGACAUAGGUACGGAUGUAUCCCGGAAGCGGUCCACUACCCUGCACGGAGGUGAAAACCUCACGAAGGACUAGUUUCUCGCUCCCACUUAAAGGGUAAAACUGACCAUGUAAAAUGCAAUGCAAAGUUGCCAAAAUACCAUGAUAAAACAUCAAUGAGUGCGAGGGGUACUCAUGAAAUUUUUUAAAAACUUUUGAUUUUUGACACAAAGACAAAUAUAAUCAGUUUAUGGCUCGACUCUCUAAAGUCCCCAGCGGAGUCGCCAAGCUGUCGAAACCGGUUUUUUUUAAAAACAAAAAUUUUAGUUUCGACUUAAAAAUAAAAACUGGAGUCGCCACCGAUCCUUGAUUGGGGUGUGAUCGGCUCACCUUAAAAACAAUUUUGGUUUGCGAAAUUUGAGAAAAUAGGUUCGGGAGUCAGUUACGCACGAGGAAGGAUUAGCACCCUCGUAACGCCCAAAAUUGGUACCAAAUUGAUUUUUUUUAAUGCCUUGGUGUCGAAAAUUUGAAAAAAAUUUAAAAGGAAACUUUUUAUUUCAUGAAAAAAUGAUAAGACAUUCUUAUUUCAAAGAAAUAAAACACCACACCCAGUGAGUUAGGGCACAAUGUCUUUAAAUCUUCAAAAUACCCGAAUAUUGCCUCUUGGUUUUGAAAAUUCUUAUUUCGAGAAGAAAAUGUCAUGACCAGUAAGUUAUGACCCAACAUUUUGAAUUCCCGAGAAUAAGCUUUUAUUUAAAAUUUGCGAAUUUAUUGCAAAACAAACUUGGCUUUCUAAAUUCAUCGAAAAAUAAUCGCAAUCCAAUAAGUUAGGACACAAUCUUUCCCGAGAAUCAUGAAUGCCAAAUAUUUUGGAAAUUUGUAAAAAUAUGAUUUUAAUACUUUGAUAAAACCCAAAAUAUAUUUCCCGAAAGGUAUGUUAAAAGUUAAUGUAUAAUAUGAAACACAACUUUAAUUUCAAACAUAUAUGAAUAAAUAUUUACAAAUAUAUAUACAAGUAGGCAUAAUAUACAAAUAAAUUUACAAGCAUGUGUACGCAUACAUUCAACAUGUAAAUAUAAGUGUACAUAUAAAAAGACGGAAAGAAAUAUAUCAAUCAAAAUUUAAUAAAAAUGCAUGUAUGUAUUUGAAAAUCGUGAAAAUAACAUAAAAAUAUAAAAAUAUGUACAUAUGUAUAUAUCUACAAAAAAAUGUAUAAGUAUAUAUGUAUUGGUAAAUCAUGAAAAUAUGUGUGUAUUUAAAAGAUUAUAUAUGUACAAUAUGUAUAAAAUAAUAGAAUAUAUAGAACAAAAUGUUUAUAAUAAUUUAAGAAUAUAUAUAGAAUAUAUGUACCACAGAAAAUGAAUAUAUAUUUUAAAUUACAAAAUAUGAGAAAUGUAUGUGUAUUUUGAAAGGUGUAUAUGUAUAUAUAAGGUAUAAAGUAUAAAGUAUAUAAAAGUUUAAAAUAAUAAUAAAAAAGCUAGAAAAACGUGUGAAUAAAACAUAUGCACGUAUUUAUAAAAACUUAAACUGGAUAUAUAUAUAUGUAUUAAAAAUAUGCAUAUUAUAUAUGGAAAAUAUGUGUAUGUGCUAUAUGAAAAAGGCAUGUGUAUAAAUAUGGCAGUAAUAAUAAUAAUAAUAAUGCUAAUAAAUGAAAUAACAGUAGUAAUAGACUGUGGCUAAAUCAAAAUUAAACAAUAAUUUUAGGGUCAAAAUCUAAAAAGGGGCUAAAUCAAAUUGAACACGAAAGGGGAAGGACCAAAGAAACAAAUAUCCCCGCUGCAAUAGAAAACGCGGGUUUAGUCGGGUUCUGGGUCGGGUCACACGGGUUAUUGGGUUACAUUAAAACGGCGCCGUUUUUCAAACCAGAUAAAAUCCCCUUUUUCAAACCCUAAAUGAACACCCUAUUCAAUUUGCAACCACAACAGCCGCAAGGUCCAAGCCCCCUCCUGCUCCUCAUGCCGAAGUCAGCAAGAAUGCCGACGGCGCGCCUCUGCCGGUAAGAAACUUCUCAUUUUCCCUCGUUCUUUCGUUUAUUUGUUUUUAAAAACAAGGAAGAAAAUAAAAAAGGUACAAAACAGUAAAGAGAAAGGAAAAACGGAACCAAUCUCAAUACCUUCAAAACUUUUUUUUAUUCUCUGUUUUUGCUUUCUUCAAUCUUUUGAUACAAAGAAUUUUUUCUCUCUUUUCGUCUGUAUCGUUUUUUACACUGAAAAAAUCCCCCACUUUACAGAUUAAAAUCGGCCUUAUAUAGCUGAUUAAUACCAAAAAUCCAAAAAGAAAAAAUCAAAAACCCACUUAUUUUCCGUUAUUUGCUGCGCUUGUGUGCCUCUAUUUUUGCAGGUUUGGUGGUGAAGAGGGCGCAUAUACGUGGAGGCACAAAUCGCGCGGAAGGGACCCUGGCUCCG